rnacentral:rRNA from 1 species
UGGGGAAUAUUGCACAAUGGGCGGAAGCCUGAUGCAGCAACGCCGCGUGGGGGAUGACGGCCUUCGGGUUGUAAACCUCUUUUAGCAGGGAAGAAGCGUGAGUGACGGUACCUGCAGAAAAAGCACCGGCUAACUACGUGCCAGCAGCCGCGGUAAUACGUAGGGUGCAAGCGUUAUCCGGAAUUAUUGGGCGUAAAGAGCUCGUAGGCGGUUUGUCGCGUCUGCUGUGAAAUCCCGAGGCUCAACCUCGGGCCUGCAGUGGGUACGGGCAGACUAGAGUGCGGUAGGGGAGAUUGGAAUUCCUGGUGUAGCGGUGGAAUGCGCAGAUAUCAGGAGGAACACCGAUGGCGAAGGCAGAUCUCUGGGCCGUAACUGACGCUGAGGAGCGAAAGGGUGGGGAGCAAACA